rfam:Picea glauca, whole genome shotgun sequence.
AUGUAAAAUCCUACAAAAUAGCAUUAAUGCACUGGAUCCUAUUAGAACUCCAUAGUUAAGCAUGCUCAGGCUAGGGUAGUACUGGGAUGGGUGAACGCCCGAGAAGUCAUAGUAUUUUACAUG